GCGGGGACAAACUCCGAGCCCCAGCAAGCACUGCCGCCGGGCCUUGACCGAGGAGGGGGUGGGGGGCUGGAGGAGACAAUGCCUGGGGAGAGGCCCCUGCAAACCCGCGAAUGGUCAGAUAAACAAACAAGUGUGGAGAGGGAAGAGAAAGGAGAGUGGAGAGAAAGAUCCUUGAGGAUAAAACAGUUGGAAGGAGCAAUGAUUUAUCUUUCCAUAGGGGGAAAUGGGGAGAAGGAAAGUAAAUUAAGAAGAGUGGAUGGGAAGAAUUUUCCAGGUUGAUCCUGGUUUGGGAAGCUUCCAGCUUGGAAUGAUUACAAUAGAAAGAAGCUGUUCUCCUGAUUCUUCCUGAUGCUGACACACCUUCUCUUUUUAAAAACAAUAGCAUGGCACCUUUGAUUACUGUUAUAAAGUCCAGAGGUCUUCAGACUGGGGCACACCCACCCAGGGGGGUAUAUAAAGACUUUGUAAGGGGCACUUGGGCAUCGAAGUGUUGGGUUAUGUGUCCUCAACUUUCCUAUCGUCGAGUUCCUAAAACAGACUUGCAUAAGAACCUCUGGGCUGGGAGUUAUUUACCCUCUCCUACAUCUCUUCCUUUCUAUCAUCCUUUUGCUACUCUACAAAGGAAAGGCACCACCCUCCCCCAUCCCAAAUCUUACUAAAGUAUAUUGCCUGGGUGUAGAAACCUUUAUGAUAGCAAAGGGACAAUUUCAUUUCAUAAUACAUAUUUAUUAAAUACCUAAUAUAUACCAGGCACAGUUCUGGAUGAUGAGUUACUGCAGUGAACAUAACAGUAAAACAUUUCUGUCCUCAUGGGGCUUCCAUUUUAUCAGGAAGAGAUGGGCAAGAAGCAAAAAAGAUAUUAUCCAUGCUGCUUCUUUCAAUUAAGGCCCUAAAAUUUUCCCAUUAACCUGAUGAAGAAAUACAUUUCCGAAAAAUUUUCCUGGUUAUGUUUAGUAAUUAUCAAAACUUACAAAGUUACAUUAUUUUGAUCAGUUGUAUACUAGUAAUAAUUAUAAUGAAGACUCAAUCUAGCAAAAUUAAUACUUGGAAAAUCAUGGCAAUGGGAAAUUAAAUUUAAAUCACAAUUUAUAUAUGUAUUUUGAUUAUAGAGAAGUAUAAUAAUCAGUAAAAAGGCUUUAAGUAUAAAAAAUUACAUCAUAAGGCCGGGCGCGGUGGCUCAUGCCUGUAAUCCUAGCACUUUGGGAGGCCGAGGCAGGCGGAUCACGAGGUCAGUAGUUUGAGACCAGCCUGACCAACAUGGUGAAACCCCGUCUCUACUAAAAAUACAAAAAUUAGCCAGGCGUGGUGUCAUGCGCCUGUAAUCUCAGCUACUCAG
rnacentral:lncRNA from 10 species